GGUGAUGGUGGGGGUGGUGGGGGUGACUUGUACUUGUAGGGGUGCUUGGGUGGUGACGGUGGGGGUGGGGACUUGUACUUGUAAGGGUGCUUGGGUGGUGACGGUGGUGGUGGUGGGGGGGACUUGUACUUGUAGGGAUGCUUUGGUGGGGAUGGUGGUGGUGGUGGUGGGGACUUGUACUUGUAGGGAUGCUUAGGUGGUGAUGGUGGUGGUGGUGGAGACUUGUAUUUGUAAGGAUGCUUUGGUGGUGAUGGUGGUGGAGGUGGUGGGGACUUGUACUUGUAAGGGUGCUUGGGUGGUGAUGGAGGUGGAGGUGGUGGAGACUUAUACUUGUAAACUGGAGGUGGUGGGGGUGGAGACUUGUACUUGUAAGGGUGCUUGGGUGGUGACGGAGGUGGAGGUGGUGGAGACUUAUACUUGUAAACUGGAGGUGGUGGGGGUGGAGACUUGUACUUGUAAGGGUGCUUGGGUGGUGAUGGUGGGGGUGGGGGUGGCGACUUGUACUUGUAGGGGUGUUUAGGUGGUGAUGGUGGUGGUGGUGGGGACUUGUACUUGUAAGGAUGCUUGGGUGGUGAUGGUGGUGGAGGUGGAGGAGACUUGUACUUGUAAGGAUGCUUGGGUGGUGAUGGUGGUGGAGGUGGUGGAGACUUAUACUUGUAAACAGGAGUUGGUGGGGGAGGAGAUUUGUACUUGUAAG
rnacentral:lncRNA from 1 species